CCCGGUGCAGAUUUAUGAUUUUUAAAAAAAAUUCAUACAGAGCUAGAUGUGGAAAAUAAUGUCAGCAUUUGAAAGACAGGAAUGUGACGCUGAAGGAGGAAUAUGGAAUAUAUGUGGGGCAGGAGGGGCUUGUGUUAGACUCACCUGAGAGAGAGAGAGAGAGGGAGGGAGUGAGAGAGAGAGAGACGGAGGGAGGAAGGGAGAGAGAGAGACAGUGGGAGGGAGCGAGAGAGAGAACAGGAGGUAGCUGCGCUGUGUUCACCUGUCCACGCACACCACCAUGAAGCCCUGAACUUCUCCUGGGAUUUAGUACGGACACCGAGACACAGGGGACAAGAUGAAGAAAGGCUUCCUGGGCCGGAAGGCACAGUCGCUGUUCGACACCAGUGUCCCCGUCCGGGAGAUGGACCACCUGGACCUUGUCCUCGACUCCGCUGCCAUCCCAGAGUCAGGGACAGCCAAGGUUCGAUCCAGGCCUACCGUCAGUUACAGCAACUCGCACACGCCCUCCACCGAGGUUUUUCAGGGGGUUGCUGUACCAACUCCGAAAGUGCCCCUUCUUCCACCAAAGACCAAUGGAAUCGACAGCAGUGCUAAGGAAUAUAAUGGAGGAAUAAUUACUGUUCAUGAUGAAGACGAGGGAGAGAUCCUCAUCCCACCACCCCCUUCUAACGCACCCCCACCACCGCCACCCCAGUUCAUUCCUCCACCACCAAAAUAUAUUCCACCUCCACCAGAGUUCUUUAGUGACUUUGAUAACUGUCAAGAUUUGGCCUCCCUGCAGCCGCCUUCCAUGCCUCCUCCCAAACCUCCAACCUUUGCCCAAGGACAAUCCCAAGACGUUGACUUUGCUUCUCUUAAACCUCCUCCAAUGGCCCCUCCAAAACCUCCCUCAGAUACUUCCAGCACUGGGAGUGCCAAGGCUUCUGUACCAAUUCAUAAGCCAAUGAAGAGUGAUACUGAGGUUCCUGAAAGCCCAAAAUUCAGUCCAUCUGUACAGACCAAAGCCCCAAAAACACCCCCUCCAAAGCCUGUCAGGAUGUCUUCUAUUGCCAGUCUGGACUUUCCACCGGCAUCAUCUACUGCACCCACCCAAACACCAUCCAGUUUUAACCCACAGAACACAGCAAAGCUCUACAGUGUGCCAAAAACGACCCUGCUUGGUGGGAAUAUAGAUCGUGGUUCAAAAACCAAGUCAAUCUUACUGUUACAAGACUUCUCAGGUGACUCUGUUGAGGUGCAUGUCAAUGGAAAUGGGUCCACCAUGAUGAAGCAACCUAGUUCAGCACAGGCUGCCAAACAGACACACAUGCAGAUAGACAAAGGUCUACAAGAGCUGAAAGAGAGCUCAUCUGCCACACUUCCAGGAACAGUUGCAGCACCCAAAUCAGAUGAUUCUAAUUCUUCAGUCCCAGCACUUCUAAAAUGUUCUCCCAAUUUAGAGAAUGCACCUCUUGCCUCAAUUCCAUCCUCAGAAAUGAAUCCAAUAAAACCUGAGGAACAUUCUUCAAGGAGACCUCAUGAGUACAGUGGUUUACUAUCUAAAAACAAAGGCUCAGGGACAAAGGACAGUGUGGCCUCGCCUUUUGCCAUGCUAAUGGCAGCCAAGGAGCGUGAAAAACAGCGAUCAUCACCUUCUCGACAAAACAGCACGAAGAGCAACGAACCAGAAGAUCCUCUACCCACUUCCAAUUUCCAAACCAGUGAAUCCAAGGUCAACACCUUCACGGUCAUACCCAAAUCCUCCUCAAUGUCGCAAGAGACACCUUCCAUACAGCAGACCCAUCCCACACAGGCUCAGUCUGAGGUAAAUAUUUUGUCACCCUCUAAGAACCAGGUCAUCAAAUCUCUGGAGAGCUCUUCAAUGCAAGAGCUCUCUAUACCUUCAACUACCUUGUCCACCAGCAAGAACGUUACUUUGGUGUCCUCUUACGUCUCUGAUGAGGAAAAUGGAGAAGACCAAUGUAUUCCUUUCAUUCCCCCUCCACCUGAAUUUGCCGGCAUAGACCAAGAGGAUGAAAAUGAUGUAGAAGCACCUCCAAGCACACCACCUCCGGAUCCUCCAAGGAAAACGAAAGCAGCAAUUGCACCUGCACCACCGCCGCCACCGCCCCCACCCCCACCCCCACCAAAACCACCAGCCUCCACAAUCAUGGCACAGAUGUCAAAUGGACCGCCCACAUCACCAAAACCCAAGUUCCCAACUUCACCUAAACCUGAACCCCUAAAUUCUGCCCAAGACAAAUCAAAGCCACCUCCAGCCCAAGUGCCUACAACGUCUCUGGAGGAGAACCGGGCUACCCUCCUCAGCAUUCUGCAAAAGAAAAUGCUAGAAAUGGACCCCAAGUUUUCAGUACCAGCUAAAGAAACGGACAACAGCACUGACGAGUGGGGCACCACUCUGUCUGAUGAAGAAAUUGGCACGCAUGCCAUUCCCAAAGCAGGUCCCACAGCCAAGAGCGCUACUCUUCCCCACCAACAAACCCACGGCCUUAAUUUCCAAGAGCUUCAGACCAGAGUAGCCCAGAAGAAAGCCCAGGGAUUCAGUGCUUCUGCAAAAUCACCCAGCAGCAAUGGGGGAAAUUCAAAGCAGACCUACGGAAUGACCUUCCAAGUGAGACCUGGAACCAAGCAGCCAAUCACUCCUAUCAACAGAGGAGAACCAUCAUGAAGACGAAUAAAUGAUUCAAUAAUCAUAUGAACA
ensembl:lncRNA uncharacterized protein C6orf132 homolog